rnacentral:lncRNA from 1 species
UCAAAAGCUACGGAGUUCCUCCUUCUUCUUGGUAAAAAGAGCUCUAAUCUCAUUGGCUUUGGAGGUGAGCUUCCUGCGCUCACCCUCAUAGUGAGCCAAAUCAGCUUGAAAUCUGGCAAAGGUCUGAUUAUAAAGCACCUUGGCCUAGAACUAUAAAAGAAACAACGUUAGAAAGAUGAAGAUCAGGAUGCCGAGUAGAAUUUACAAAAAAUUACCUACUCAUAGAGCCUAUCUAUCUCGCGGGAAAUAAGUGAGGAAUCAAGCUCAGGAUUUUUCUCGGGCACAGAAAAAAGCUUUUUAAAUGCAUCUUUAUCUCUGACGGGCAUCCCCACAUCGGAAGAUUCUUUAUUUUGGGCAUCCUGCAUCUCCCUUGUAGGUAAAGUCGGUCCUGGAGGGGAAUUUCCACUUCAAUAACCCCGACUGGAUCAAUUAGGGCCGCCUCUUAUUUCUGGAGAGCUCCAGAACUAGGCUCCUCCAGACAGCCUACCAAAUGCACCUCAGCUUGAGGAAUAUUUUGGCCAUUAACCGGCUCAGGGACAAUACCUAUACACCCUCGAAGGCCUCUUCAUCACAAGGUAGGGCAACAACAGCAUCGAGUUCCGAUUUAGAAGCUACUAGCUCAGCAAUAUGAGGGACGGUCAAGAUUUCUCCUCCCUCAGGUACUAUCGAGGAAUCACCUUUCUCCUCGCCUUUAGCUCGGGGACUCCCUGAUACUUCUGGAGUUAAGGCUACUGAAUUAGCUUUAGGUUCUUCCACUUUGGCCUUCUUGGAUUUUGAAGACUCAAUCGACGAUUCCCUUCAUUUCUCUCCUGUUUGUCAGGUUUUGGGUUAUCUGCUUCCCCAGGUGGUGCUUCUCUCAUCAAGGAGGCCUCUCCCAAACCUGCACAAAUAUAAAAUAAAAAUGCAGGGAAUAAAGGCACCAUCGGUGAUAGUUCUUCUGAGAGAUUCAAUUGCAUUAGAAGCGAGGGCUCACCAUGGUUCUUAGCCUUCCAUCGAGCCCUAGACAGGUUGCACCACACGCGCUCAGCAUAUGGGCAUGUCAAAUCUAGCCAGCUAACCCAGCCUGAGAGAUCUCUGACCUCGACAGGGUACACCGCGCCAGCUAUAUCAGCGGAGGAAGUUAGUUCAUGAGGAAAUUAUUCCUAAAGGAAAGGAAAAUACUUAAUCAGCAUAUCCAUUUACGUUUUGUGAUCCACCUUUCUGGGAACGACAUUUUUUCCACAGGGAUAAGGUCUGAGGUCCUAACUUGAACAAAACAGCUCAUCCACCCUUCGUCCCUAACCUCGCCAAUACAAGCAAAGAAGGCUUUCGAGGCCCGGCAUCUGAGCUUAAUCAGGCCCCCUCGAAGGAGUCAGGGACUGUACAUUCUAAUCAAGUGACCGAGGGUGAAGGGCAUCCCCUUAAUCAUAUUCGCAAAACGUCUGAUCAUGUAAAUGAUGUGCCAAAACGACGGAUGAAUUUGGUCGAGAGUCACUCAAUAUCAUUCACAGAAUUUGAGGAACAUGGGGUGUAUUAAAGGCGAGGAUGGCUCCACCGGGCCCAGAGUAAAUGGAUAGGUAUACACACUAAUAAAGCCGGCCUUGAAUGUCAUUAUGUCCUCUCCCUAAGAAGGGAUAUCCACCCGCACCGUGCCCCGUAGUGGCAAUCAGUCUUUACCUUCUCGGUGUCUGCUACUAAACUAAUGUACUGGGACACAGGUUCACAUCGUCCCGGCUUCAAAGAAGGCUUGUCAAUCUUGAAAUCGGAGGUCAUUUUGCAGGGUCCUGGGAUGCACUCCUCAAGAUGAGAGGGUACUGUUGUCUUACCCUUAGGCGAGCGUGAAUAAGAUGGAAGCACGUCUCCCUGAGGGACAGAGAUAUAAAUCUUCACCAUUCUUGUUAAAACGAUUUCAGAAGGGAGAAGAGAUUGUAAUCAGAGAAAAACACAAGAAAGAAGUAAGAAGAACUCUUUUAAAGGCUUAAUGAUACAGUGGAAAAUAAGGGGCGAAGGAAGAAGUAUUUAUAGAGGCCAAUCAUGCACAUUGGAGCAGGCCAAACGGUAGCCAACCGCUGUAAUCAAUUCAAAGUCUCUUCAAAGGUUGUAUGGGUGCGACCUUUAGACACCCUUUUUGUCACAUCAAUCGCUUGAUAUAGUGCAACUGACGUCAUGAUGAACGUAUCCAAGAGGCAAGAAUUCAAUACCGUUUCUUAUCAUUUUCGCUCUAAGAAAUGUGGGGACUAACUGUACACGGCUAAAAUCAGAGAGUCCAAUUUUAGGAUCGUUAUAGCAUUCCGUAGCCCAGAAGGCUCGAGGUACAGCUCGAGGUAUGACCCCGAGGGUUCUCUAUGCUCAAUCUCGGGGCAGCACAAAUUGAUGGCUAUCAUGGACAAGUGGGAAAUUCCCAAGGCGCGUGAUCAAAGCUGACAAUGCCUGCAAGAAUAGUACAAGUCCGUACCAGACCUUUAAGUAGCUAUACCAGCUACUUUUCUUUGUAAUAAUCAUACAUGUACUAUGUUGAGAUUCCCCCUCUUAUAUAAAGGGGACCCUUGCUAUUUCUGGCAGACAUGAUAUUCAAUACAAGAACAAGAACAUUCUCUACUCUCUAACUUAAGCAUUCUCCAUUGUCUUUCCUUUGAUUUAUUGCUUACAUUUAUUGCGUUUCAUUGAUUUUUCUACAUUUAUUAUUGUCACACCUCCUUUUUACCACCCCCGGAAGGGGUAUAAGGGAGUUUUUUCAAUUAAAGUAACAAUCAAAACGGGAUUAUUUUUUAAGUUUUAGAGUCGCCACUUGGGAUAGUUAUAUGGUGUCCCAAGUCACCGGUUUAAAAUCCUGAAUCGAGGAAAAGUUUGACUCUGCUUUAGAGUCCGCAAACACAUAAAUCUGGGUAAGAAAUUCUGUUAACCCGGGAUAAGGUGUUAGGCAUUCCCGGGUUCCGUAGAUUUAGCAAGGUCGCUCAUUGUGCAUUUUUAAUGUUAUAACCACCUUUUAAUUAUUUUAAACCGCUUUUAGAAUUUAUGGAAUUAUUUCUUGAACAAGUUACGAUUGUCGUACACUUGUUCGCUUUGGAACACGCUGCGAACCACACUACAUGAAAUGCACUCACAAUUCACGACAUGUGUAUUUUAUUAACAUUCGAAGUUGUUAUGAUCGGAUUACAUGAAAUGCACCCCCGAAUUUGCUAAUUCACAGGUAUGAAACUAAUGUAUCAAUAUAACAUAGUAAAUCUGAAAGGACGGGAAGAUUCAAUCAUUUCCCUCAAACCUACAAAGAGACGUUUCCCGACUCCAAGGAUUCAGAAAGAUAUGAACUAUUAAUAUUUCGCAGUACCUCACAAACUCCAACUAUAGUUUGAACACAUGGAAAAUCUCUUAUCCAUUUCUUCUAAGUAAUUCAGGAAUGAGCAAGUAAUGAAAGCUAAUAGGCAAGUAGCAGUUGCUAAGAUCACAAAUAUUAAUAACGAAAAUGGGCAGUGCAUGGUCAACACAAAAUCAGAUGCAGAAAACUAGAUCACUCAAAAUACUAUCAUCUUGCUUCAGUGGCAAAAAGACUAUAUUUACUAUUCUAAACAAACUGAAAUUCUACAUCAUAUCAAUCAACAAAGUAGUUAAAUUAUAAACAUGCUAGCUAUAUUAAUCAUCCGCCAAUUUUGCUCACAAAUUACUUCGUCAAAUAAUUCUAAGAAUCUCAAGAGACCUACUAUAUUUAAAUCACACCCAAAUAAAUAUUAAAACAGGGGGAAUUUUUUAGAACUACACUAAACUCAUCGCAGUGUCGUUAUAGUUUAACAUUAGGUUGCUACAACUAGAAUAAGAUAAGAAGAUCAUAAUCAAAUCUUAAAUGGAAGCCAAUAAAAGGUUCGAUAGGCAACAUUCAUCCAUAGGCCAAAUCUUGAAAGAAAGAACACUGAAAUGGACUAAUUUAUGUGGAAAACUUGUAGUAAUAUUUCACUACUCAAACAUCACAAUUAGAGACAAGAACAGGUGAACAUAGAACUCAUUCAAAUCUUCAAUUUACUUCAAUAAGAGACACAAACAGGAAAAUGAUCAUAUAACUUUAGCACUCAAAGAUUCAUCCUAACAAACUUUCAUUUAACCACAACCAAGAAACAAAAUAGAAGUAAGAGUAAUCGAAAAGUACCUGUUAACCCAAAACUUCUUAGUAACAGUUGAAGAACCAACAAAUACACAAAUUCUAGUUCCGGAAAAUUAAUGAGAACCAAUAGCAAUAAUCAAAAACAUCAGACGGAAUGACAAACUUGAACCUCCGGACUGACCUCAGCUCAAUCACUCCAUGCUUGAAGAACCAAAAAAUCAAAAUUGGAAGCGGGCUGUUGGUUUUGGGUUGAAGAGGAGGGGUAGUGCAGCAGUUUUUCCGGCUGGUUAACGGCGGCUCAAGAUGAAGAAGAAGAAAUGAGGUCAUUCAUUUUUGGGGAGUGUUCAGUCGCUGUGCUUUUUGUGUCUGUACCAUUGUUUGGUUGGGUGCUGCUAUGGAGAAGUUCUAGGUGUGUUUUAGGUUGUGUCUUGUGAAGAUCAAGGAGAGGGGUCCGCUGAUGUGUGUGUCAUUCACGAUCAGAAAACGGCUGCUCCUUCUCUUUGUGAAGUUGUUCUGUAUUCUUCCAAACUAAGGGGGGAAAAUCCAUUCGUCUCAUAAGGAAGGGCGACUGGUCCAGCUUGAAGAGGAGAUUUUGGGAUGAUGUCUGUUGUUUGAAUGGAGAAGACGAAGUUCAGGGGGAUUCGAAGAAGAUGAUCUUCAGGGGGUGGGGUUAUUGGUGUAAACGGCGGAUUCUUUUAU